rnacentral:lncRNA from 1 species
UUUUAUAAUUCUGGACAUCUCAGACUUAAGUCAAAUGGCAAACGUGUCCAAAUCUGCCACAGGUGGGCGGAAGGAAGGCUGUGAUGGUACAGCAUCUAUUGUUACUGUCAUUAGUAUUAGGUGAGUUGCAAAGGCCCCAGUGCCACAGUAUAGAGUCAAGUUAAGCAUAAUAAUCAGUACGUUAGGGGCUGGGGAUUUAGCUCAGUGGUAGAGCGCUUACCUAGGAAGCGCAAGGCCCUGGGGUCGGUCCCCAGCUCCGAAAAAAAGAUCCAAAAAAAAUAAUAAUAAUAAUCAGUAUGUUAGGCUACCAUGGGCAAGCUACAAGAGCUGUUUCAUAAGCCAUUCAGUACUAAGACUCUCUGGUCUCGGCGGUCAGAACAGACGCAGAGCUGUUAGAUGGUCAGAAAGAUAGCAUUUUUCUUAAGGAAGCCAGACUUCUGUGAACUGACACUUAAUCUUGCUGUGCUGAUGGACAGAUGGCUGGGCAGCUGAGUGGCAUCCAUUUCACUGACAACACCGGACUCGCACUUUCCUAUUUGAGCCUCUUUGACCAGAGACUGUUUCCUUCUUUACUGUGUCAGAAUUGAGCUGUUUGAAGCCAGAGUAGACUGUAACAUACCUCUAAUACAGCUUUUAGGGUCCGAAUAUUCAGUCUGGAUCCAUGUUAACACCACAGCACACAAGCUGUAUUUUUUCUGGUCUUAGUUGACAGUACCCAUGUAGAAAGGGCUAAACUUCCCUUUGCUGAAGAGAAGAAGGUUAUACAGAGACAUCAAUGCCCAAGUCCUCACCUUCACAAUCACAUCCUAGAGAACGAUAAGUCAGAACAGAAUUGCUCUGGCCAGGGUAUUUUUAUGUUGACAAAAUAUUGUUGCAAUAUUUGAAUCUCCAGAUUGGGAAUCUCCAGGCUGAAAUUGUUUGUGUCAGAAUUUUUAUUUUAAUGUUUCAAGAAUGAGGUAGUCUACAUUAAUCCAAACGAUCUUUACACAUAGACUCUGAAUUUUAAAAAAAAUGACACCUUGUUUUAGAAUAUUUUGAAUACUAAAAGAAAGGAUUGUCUGAGUCAGAUUAAGAUACCCAGAGGGUAGGAUGCUGACCUAACAUCUCGAGCAGGUUAUCCAAAUAGGUGAGGACCUGCUGGCUGCUUCUGGGUGAGCAGAGCCACUGCACAUCACAGCAAGAUCAAAGCAAGGUUUAUCUAGAGUUAGUUAAAGAGUUUCAGUCUGACAAAUUUUAAAGCAUAUUUUUCUAUUUUAAAAAUAUAAUUUCUAGGCUAUAUUUCUAUUGGCGCUUCUGCAAAUGAUUUUGGAUUCCACAGACAACAAUAACACUAGGUUUUGAGCAUGGUUCAGUGAGGCCGCUCAUCAGACACAUGCAGGUGCUGUAGACAGGACCGAGCUUAGCCUUUAGCCGGCUGCCCUUGGCCCUGUAUCUUACCACAGGAUUAGGUUUGUUAUUUUAAAUGGUACA